GGAUUUUGCAUACAGGACUAUCAAGGUCAUGACUUUCUUGGUCGUUGCUCAUGUCACGACACAAACAAAUUUGUCAAAGGCAAUAUGUCAGAUUUCCAAGUUCUUGAAAAGAGACCCGGGUGUGAUCAAACAGAACUGAUUUUUGCUUUGUGUUUAUUCAGUGUAACUAUGACCAAGUCAGACAAUGCCACUGAAAAAAUCUGCAUUAAUACUGAGGGGAGGAUGGCCAAGGCUUUUUUUAGGUGCUGGGAGAGGAUAAACAAAGAUGAGAACCGAAAGAUGGAGUGCAUCGAAAGAAAAAGAAAGGCAGAGUGGCACGAUGGAUCAGCUGGAAAGCGUUGGCCUCACAGUUCUGAGGUCAAGGGUUCGAUCCCGGCCCCGCCUGUGCAGAGUUUGCAUGUUCUCUCACUGCCUGCGUGGGUUUUCUCUGGGUACUUCGGUUUCCUCCCACAUCCCAAAAACAUGCAAUAUUAAUUGGACACUCUAAAUUCCCCCUUUGGUGUGAUUGUGAGUGCGCCUGUUUGUCUUGAUGUGCCCUGCGAUUGGCUGGCAACCAGUUCAGGGUGUACACUGCCUCCUGCCCGUUGACAGCUGGGAUAGGCUCCAGCACGGCACACGACCCUUGAGGAUGAGGAUACGUGGCUAAGAAGAUGGAUGGAUUGAUGGAUAUUUUAUUUUCAUGAUUCAAGGACUUUGUGGAGAGGUGCUUGUUAUAUCGUUGUGUGCACAGUCAUAUAAUAACAA